GUGAAUCAUCAAAUUUUUGAACGCAUAUUGCACUCUCUCUGGUAUUUCGGAGAGUAUGCCUGUUUGAGGGUAAUUAAAAAGAAUCUUUACAAAUUUUUUUUGGUUAGUGGAAAUGAGUUCUCAGCGUUUAUAGCGGUAGCUUGAAAUAAAUGGUCAAGUCUGAUUUUAGUCGAGACGCGUAAUAAUAUUAUUUAGCGAAAUCUUUAUUAUGUGCCGAUCAAGUUUUGAUGAAUAAAACUUUGGCUUGUAUGCGAUCAAUACAAACAUUCUGAACAUUACCUCAAAUCAGGUAGGAGUACC
rnacentral:misc_RNA from 1 species